GUUGGUUUUUCUCCGUUGCUGAAAUCUAUUCGUUGUUGACUGUAUUGUUUACCACUUUUGUCAGACUUCAAUUUCGCUGGAGCUUGGAGCUCGCCAUAAUGGCAGAACUGAAGAAAAAUAAAAAUCCAAUUUAGAGCUUGAAGCUUUAUCCGUCAAUUAUGGCUUUGGCGUUUGAGGUGAUAUUCCUUAUUGUCUAAAGCUUGGAUUGAUUCUCUCCAAAUCUUGUGAUGAGUCCUUAAGUGAGAGAGGUGAGCGAGAUUCACGGAGAGUGGCGAGCGAGAUUCAGGGGAGUGAGGUGAAUGACGAAGUGUUUGUUACGAAUUAGAAUUAAAUAAAACUAUGGUUGUAACAUUUAUUUUGCAUUAAUGGUUCACUAUCUUAUACAUUUUUCCUUAAGAAUUA